AUUUAAAAUUACAAAAUAUACCAAAAGAGUGUAGAUUUCAAAAGUUUAAUACAAACACAAGAAAUAAACUCAAUUAUUUGGAUUCAACUAAAAAUAGAAAAAUGUGUACUUUAAAAAUCAAACACAAAAAACUUUUAAGUAUUUAUAAACACUUGUCCAAAAAUUCUAGUUCAAGGUCAAAGCGCGUGAAAUUAAAUUCAACGAUGCAAAUAGGCUAUACUGCAUUCAAGUUAGGGUCGAAAGUUGAAACUUCUUUCCUAAAUUGUAUCCUGCUGAUACGCUAAGAAUAAUCUACAGACAUAUGGACUUAAACAUAAGAUUUACAAUUGUAUGGAUAAUGCCUGUUUCUGUUUCAUUCAUCACAUGAUAUCCCUAUCGUGCGCUCACUCACUCUGGCCGAUUCGAUACGAACCAAACGAAUAUUGCUGAUAUUCACGAAUCGGUACGUUAUGCCGAUGCGCAUCACAUCGAGCAAUAUCGUGUAUCGGCUGAUAUCGAUAUAUAGAUUUCGAUUCACGAAUCGGUACGAUAUGCCGAUGCGCAUCAUAUCGAGUAAUAUCGUGUAUCGGCUGAUAUCGAUAUAUAGAUUUCGAUUCACGAAUCGGUACGAUAUGCCGAUGCGCAUCACAUCGAGCAAUAUCGUGUAUCGGCUGAUAUCAAUAUAUAGAUUUCGUGCGGGGCGAUAUCGGAUUCAACGAUAUUGCUGCGAUAUAUAGAUAUUGAAUCUAUAUACGAUUUAUAUCACCCACUCCUAACUGACAUACGCAACGAGAAUUCAUACGCAAACUUGACCUUUGAGUGUCAUAACUUUGUCUAAUGUCAAUACUCCUGAUCGUUCACAUUUCUUAGUAAUUAAUUACCUUUGGCUUCAGAAAAUAAUUAGGAAGGCUGUGGGUGUAUGGUACGUCCGAUACAAAUGCGCCAAUCUGGCCAAUAAAUCUAUGGGCCAUUAUGAAUUAGCGGAUGUCGUAUAAACCUAGAAGAGAAGGUACUAAGCUCACUCUGCCUUACUGUAGCCGAGUUAAAGAAGUAUAUUCUGGUCUGCAGUCACACAGUUCUACUGAAACUUCAACCAUAACUCCAGACUGGCUCCUUUAUUAUUUUACGUUAAUUACACUCGAAGACUCAGCGAGGGUUGACAUCAUCCGGUGGCUGAUCGCAAGACUCAAGUUAAGUCCCUAUGCAGCAUGAUAAGAGAACAGUGACAUACUGCGUGGACCCCAUAUGAUGUGGGAUAAGGGCAUGGAGAAGUUAAUACAAAAAUCGUGUUCAAUAAUCCAUUGUAAAAUGUUUGUUAAAUUACCGUAUACAUAAUAUAAACAUUUCUACGACAAA